rnacentral:rRNA from 1 species
GGCUCAGAACGAACGCUGGUGGCGUGUCUAUACAUGCAAGUCGAGCGAGGCAGCAAUGCCGAGCGGCGAACGGGUGAGUAACGCGUAAGCAAUCUGCCCCAUAUCAGGAAAUACCCGUGCCAACGCGCGGUUAAUGUCCAGGAGAGUGGCCCCCUGCAUGGAGGGUUGACUAGAGAUUUAUCGGUAUGGGAUGAGCUUGCGUCCGAUUAGCUAGUUGGCGGGGCAACGGCCCACCAAGGCGACGAUCGGUAGCCGGCCUGAGAGGGUGAUCGGCCACAUUGGGACUGAGAUACGGCCCAGACUCCUACGGGAGGCAGCAGUAGGGAAUAUUGCACAAUGGGGGAAACCCUGAUGCAGCAACGCCACGUGUGGGGAAAAGAAGCAUUUCGGUGUGUAAACCACUGUCAUGAGGGAAUAAGGCCCUUAUUCGUAAGGGAUUGAAUGUACCUUGAGAGGAAGCACCGGCAAACUUCGUGCCAGCAGCAGC